rnacentral:lncRNA from 1 species
AUGCACAUCCUGCUCUCCACAUCAUGCACAUCCUGCUCCCCAGGUCAUGCACAUGCUGCUCCCCAGGUCAUGCUCAUCCUGCUCGCCAGGUCAUGCACAUCCUGCUCUCCACAUCAUGCUCAUCCUGCUCCCCAGGUCACGCACAUCCUGCUCCCCAGGUCAUGCACGUCCUGCUCCCAGGGCAUCGCACCCUGCUCCCCAAACACACACUCAGCCCGCCCGGGCCGCGUGCCCCUCUCCCCUCUGGCGCUGGUGGCCAUGCUGUGGCCCUCUCUGCAUCCGCCAGCCCCGRCUGCACGGGGGUUACCAUCCAUCCAGCUCUGCUCAGCUGCAGGUGCCGGCAGCCCCCCGGUGCCGGGGGCACCAGCCUGGAGAGGGGCACAAGCUGUGGGGCCAGGGGGUCRGGGAUGCAUGCUGGGGCUGGGGCAGCCGUGCUGGAGGAGCGUCGGCUGCUGGGGAAGGCCCCAGGUCCUCAGUCCUCCCUGGCUGCGAGCAGGGCUCCGAGUUUGCAGCUACGCAGGGAAGAAGGGAAAACCGAGCAGGGCCGGCCCCACGGCAAGGAGGGAGAGCGGUAAGUGGGGACGGGAGAUGGUCCGGAGGAGUUUCCCCUCUCCACCCYGCCUGAACGAUGGGCCAGCGGGCAAAAACACACACAAAAAAUGCAGAUGCUCUUCCCACCCGUCCUGGGUGCCCGGAGCACGACCCAUCCCCACGGCCCCAAGCCUCCCCCGGGGGGAGUCGGGGACCGGUUCACAAGGGUGCAGCAGGGGAGGGCAGGGUCUCGCUGCCGUCUUGCAGGGUUUGUGUGCGUUAUUUAACAGUAAAUGGACAAGCAAUUGCACCGAGUCCCGACCGUCACGCAGGCCUGCGGCGAUGUCUGGAGCCCUCUGUGUCUGCGGGGCAGCGGCCGGAACAGCUUCCCGCAGGGAGCCCCGCAGGCAGCCAGACGGGCUCCGUGCAGCACAGCCCUCCCCGGCCUCGCUGCUGAAUUGUCCAGGCUGUGCAAGGUCCGGCUGCGAUGGGCCAGCGCCGAGACCCUCCAAACUCGUGUCGCACAGGGUCCACCAUCCUUCCCUGACGUGGGAAGACGGGCAGGGGCAGCCCCAGCCCCUGGUGCCUGCCCGAGCCCGGGGCAGCUGCCCGCGUUCCUCGGCCGGUCGAGCGGUUUACUCUCCGGUGAUCUCUUCGGGGCGAGCUCUGCCCUGCAGCGCGGAGCAGUCGCAACAAUACAAACACGAGUCCCAGGGGCAUCGUCAGUGCCAUCAAUAUUGUGGUUCUUUAAUAAAAACCUCAGUGACCUUUGGCAGAACCAUCAGGAGCAGAAGACACGUCGGGGCCCCGCUCAGCCCAGCGCAGCCCGGCAGCGCCGUGGCCGGGAGGCGGCUGCUUGCGUUUAAAUGCCCCAUUGAAAUAAAACCUCCAAAAUAYGUGAUGCAAAAACAUACAAUUAUGUUACCCAAAGAUUGA